rnacentral:rRNA from 1 species
UUGAGCGCUGGCGGCAUGCUUUACACAUGCAAGUCGAACGGUAACAGGCCGCAAGGUGCUGACGAGUGGCGAACGGGUGAGUAAUGCAUCGGAACGUGCCCAGUCGUGGGGGAUAACUACUCGAAAGAGUAGCUAAUACCGCAUACGAUCUAUGGAUGAAAGCGGGGGACCGUAAGGCCUCGCGCGAUUGGAGCGGCCGAUGUCAGAUUAGGUAGUUGGUGGGGUAAAGGCUCACCAAGCCAACGAUCUGUAGCUGGUCUGAGAGGACGACCAGCCACACUGGGACUGAGACACGGCCCAGACUCCUACGGGAGGCAGCAGUGGGGAAUUUUGGACAAUGGGCGCAAGCCUGAUCCAGCAAUGCCGCGUGCAGGAAGAAGGCCUUCGGGUUGUAAACUGCUUUUGUACGGAACGAAACGGCUCUGGUUAAUACCCGGGGCUAAUGACGGUACCGUAAGAAUAAGCACCGGCUAACUACGUG